rnacentral:rRNA from 1 species
UACAGAGAGUGCAAACGUUGUUCGGAAUUACUGGGCUUAAAGCGCACGUAGGCGGCAUCGCAAGUGUGGGGUGAAAUCCCACGGCUUACCCGUGGAACUGCCUGGCAGACUGCGGUGCUAGAGGAUGGUAGGGGAGAGCGGAACUCCUGGUGGAGCGGUGAAAUGCGUAGAUAUCAGGAGGAACACCGGUGGCGAAGGCGGCUCUCUGGUCCAUUACUGACGCUGAGGUGCGAAAGCUAGGGGAGCAAAC